rnacentral:rRNA from 1 species
AUACGGAGGAUCCAAGCGUUAUCCGGAUUUAUUGGGUUUAAAGGGAGCGUAGGUGGGAUAUUAAGUCAGCUGUGAAAGUUUGGGGCUCAACCUUAAAAUUGCAGUUGAUACUGGUUUCCUUGAGUACGGUACAGGUGGGCGGAAUUCGUGGUGUAGCGGUGAAAUGCUUAGAUAUCACGAAGAACUCCGAUCGCGAAGGCAGCUCACCGGGCCGGAACUGACACUGAUGCUCGAAAGUGCGGGUAUCAAACAGGAUUAGAUACCCUGGUAGUCCGCACAGUAAACGAUGAAUACUCGCUGUUUGCGAUACACUGUAAGCGGCCAAGCGAAAGCGUUAAGUAUUCCACCUGGGGAGUACGCCGGCAACGGUGAAACUCAAAGGAAUUGACGGGG